GGCUGGUCUGAGUGCAAUGGUGUUUACAACUAAUUGAUCACAACUCGUUACAGAUUUCUUUGUUCCUUCUCCACUCCCACUGCUUCACUUGACUAGCCUUAA
rnacentral:Y_RNA from 1 species